GACGAACGCUGGCGGCGUGCCUAAUACAUGCAAGUCGAACGCUGAAGAGAGGAGCUUGCUCUUCUUGGAUGAGUUGCGAACGGGUGAGUAACGCGUAGGUAACCUGCCUUGUAGCGGGGGAUAACUAUUGGAAACGAUAGCUAAUACCGCAUAACAAUGGAUGACCCAUGUCAUUUAUUUGAAAGGGGCACAUGCUCCACUACAAGAUGGACCUGCGUUGUAUUAGCUAGUAGGUGAGGUAACGGCUAACCUAGGCGACGGUACAUAGGCGACCUGAGAGGGUGAUCGGCCACACUGGGACUGGGACACGGCCCAGACUCCGACGGGAGGCAGCAGUAGGGAAUCUUCGGCAAUGGGGGCGACCCUGACCGGGCAACGCCGCGGGAGGGAAGAAGGUUUUCGGAUCGUAAAGCUCUGUUGUAAGUCAAGAACGAGUGUUAGAGUGGAAAGUUCACACUGUGACGGUAGCUUACCAGAAAGGGACGGCUAACUACGUG
rnacentral:rRNA from 1 species